GAAAGUAAAGUACGCCAUCUACUUACAUAAAUACAUAGGCAAAAAAAUUUUAAUAUUAUAGUUAAUUGAUCUUUUUAAGCUGUGCACUUCGUUUAAUUGAUUAGUUACGAAUUUUAUUCAACAUUUCUUCUCAGAUUUUUUGCCAAAGUUUACUUUAAUUCGCGAAAAAUAGACUAAGAAGUUUGGCCGAUAUGGGAAACAAUCGCAAAAAAAAACUUUUGUAGUUUUCAGUAAGUUUUGUAUUUAGAAUUUUAGGAUUUUUUGCCAUUGUGGCGCAUUGUGUUGUGAGCCAUUAUACUUCUUUGUAUAAUUCUCUUCUCACGACAUCGACAAUUCGUCCAUUUCAUUAUAUCACCUUGUAACCUUUUAACACUUUUUUUAUCCCAAUCGCAGAAGUAGAACUAAAAGUUAAUAGGGUUGCCAUUGAGUGAUUUAUGGCAUGAACAAUUGUACUCAACAACUGGGGAUUAUCAGGCGACUUUCCAGCGCGGAUUUAGAGGCACCUGGUAGAGAAAUUUCAUACUACUUCAUGGAAUCCCAUUUCUCGUGCUUCAUUCACGCGUGGAUUUCUUGGUUGGUGACUUGCUGUGGUUGAUCUAGAGCUGGUUGAUCGUUCGAUACGUGUUCCUUUUCCUUUGUGGAUAUCUUCAUAAAUUCAAAUUUUGUGUAUCACUGAAAUAGAAUCAGCAUCAUGGUUGUCCUUCCAGGAGGAAAAUGACUUGACGGUCAAUACAAGGGUAAAGAAAAUGACAACAAAUUCUAUUAUGGUGGUCAUCACAGAUAACAUGCAAGUUAUUUUUACAUAGCAUUUUGAGAAUUCAUCAUGUAGGGUGCAAUAGUUUUGAUUAUUUUUUGUUAAUUGAGAUUUUCUUUUAGAUUUUGCAUUUAGACUGAAUUAGAGCCAUCCGUCUGUCCUUUAAAGGAAAAAGAAAAGGCCAACACCACCAACACGGUCAACAAAGUUCUUUGUUUGUUAACCUGAAUUGGCUUUUACCACUUCAAUCCCCAUUCCUAUAUCCUUGGAAUGGGCCCACUCUUAUUUUGAGGUUAAUCCUGCGCCGCUAUUCCAUGGACGGAAUUCAUUCGUGGAAACUGACGAAAGAUCAGUGACGACUGACUAACGUGCUGACAUUCAGCAAUAAAGCUCACAUGCGUGCCAUCCUUCCGUCGCUUCGAGGCAUGGUUGUGCCUGCUCCAGCGUAAUUCGACUACCCAACUGACGGCUUGUCAACUCACCCCUCGCUGACUCCUACUACCCUUGUGCUCUCGUCUCUCAACACAGCACGGGGUUCAAAUUACAGGUUUCUACAUUUGUAUGACAGAUUUCAUGAAAAGUCAUGUCCUUUGAAGAAAUAUGACAAUGACUAUAAAGUAUACAGUCAACAAGGUCCCUUGUUUGAUAAUUUGUUGGCUGCUAACUUAGAAUCUCACCUGUUAUUUCCUUAAACGGGCCCUCCUCAUUUGAGUGCCUACAGGCUAACUCCUUCGCUACUUAUCGUGGACUUCAUCCAUUGCCGAAAACCGACGAGAGCAUGCUGUCAUUCAAGACUUAUAAAUUGUGUAGUUAGUUAAACUACAAGUGCAUUUCUGGGCUCCCUUCUUUUCUGUGGCCCCGUUUCCCUAACUAACCACUAACCAACGCCCGCCGGUGGUCACUCACCCGCUGUGAAACCAGGAGGAGGGGAGGGCUCUGGUCGAACGGGGACUUGGAAGGCCCAUGAUCCGAUGAAAACUUUUGGAGGGUCAUGAGUCUAACCCGGAAGCCUAGUAUGAGCAUAGGAUGAUCUCCCCGGAAAAACUUGCCUCGUACUUCUCUCUUCUUCUCGGUCCAGAUACUAUCUCUGGGGGCCGUAGACAAAACCUAUAACAGCAUGUGCGAGUUUAUAAGAAGCAGCCCACUACCCAAUGAAAGAAAAAGCCGUGGAUUAGUUUUGCGGACAUCUGCAUCAGUCACGCAGAUUUCCGCACAAAUAGAUCAUCGCUUUUUGUCUCAUUGCCGCAGCGGUGGUGCCGGGUUUGCAAUAAACUCGUACAGUAGAAAAAUGUAUUGAACCGGACGCUCUGUUUAUUGAA